AUGNNNNNNNNNNNNNNCCCCGCACCGACGGCCGCCGCAUCCCUCCCCGCACCGACGGCCGCUGUAUCCCUCCCCCGUGCAGAUGACCGCUGCAAGCUGCUCCCGCUCAUGGCCGCUGCAAGCUCCUCCCGUACGCCAACCUCCACCCCGCCUUCCCCCUCUGUUCUCCCUCACGCUCGGGCGCCAGCCAUCCUUCUUCCACGCGCGCGGCACCUCGAUCCACCGCCGGCCGACCUCCCUCGUCCCGCUUGCUGGCCGCCGUCCAUGUUGUACCAUUGUUUCUGGAAGAAAACCAACUUGGACUUCGUUAGACGGCCUUUGCACCAUUUUGAGCGCCGACAGCUCCUUCCUUUGCCAUUGAUACAGCCAUCGACAUGUACUGGGUGUUCCUUUGCAAGUUCAAUUAGUGUCAUCGCACAACUUCAGAAGUUUGAUUUUGUGAAGAAGUAUGAAAAUUUUCAGUGCAAAUGUGGAAAACCAGAAAGUUCUAAUAAUGGUGUACCAAAAGUUCAAGGAUAG
rnacentral:rRNA from 1 species